rnacentral:rRNA from 1 species
CAGUCGCCGCGGGAAUACGGAGGGUGCGAGCGUUAAUCGGAAUAACUGGGCGUAAAGGGCACGCAGGCGGUGACUUAAGUGAGGUGUGAAAGCCCCGGGCUUAACCUGGGAAUUGCAUUUCAUACUGGGUCGCUAGAGUACUUUAGGGAGGGGUAGAAUUCCACGUGUAGCGGUGAAAUGCGUAGAGAUGUGGAGGAAUACCGAAGGCGAAGGCAGCCCCUUGGGAAUGUACUGACGCUCAUGUGCGAAAGCGUGGGGAGCAAACAGGAUUAGAUACCCGGGUAGUCCCUGUCUCUUAUAA